rnacentral:rRNA from 1 species
GCGCAUGUGCUGUGAGCUCGAUGAGUAGGGCGGGACACGUGGUAUCCUGUCUGAAUAUGGGGGGACCAUCCUCCAAGGCUAAAUACUCCUGACUGACCGAUAGUGAACCAGUACCGUGAGGGAAAGGCGAAAAGAACCCCGGCGAGGGGAGUGAAAAAGAACCUGAAACCGUGUACGUACAAGCAGUGGGAGCCCCACCACUAAGCCAGUGGUGAACUCCACAUACGCAUCCUUUGCUGAAGGCAAUGGUUAACGGAGCGAAAGCGACGUUCAACCGCAAAACAAGCAGAGGGGGCUUAGUGGUGGGGUGACUGCGUACCUUUUGUAUAAUGGGUCAGCGACUUAUAUUCUGUAGCAAGGUUAACCGUAUAGGGGAGCCGGAGGGAAACCGAGUCUUAAUUGGGCGUUAAGUUGCAGGGUAUAGACCCGAAACCCGGUGAUCUAGCCAUGGGCAGGUUGAAGGUUGGGUAACACUAACUGGAGGACCGAACCGACUAAUGUUGAAAAAUUAGCGGAUGACCUGUGGCUGGGGGUGAAAGGCCAAUCAAACCGGGAGAUAGCUGGUUCUCCCCGAAAGCUAUUUAGGUAGCGCCUCGUGAAUUCAUCUCCGGGGGUAGAGCACUGUUUCGGCUAGGGGGCCAUCCCGGCUUACCAACCCGAUGCAAACUGCGAAUACCGGAGAAUGUUAUCACGGGAGACACACGGCGGGUGCUAACGUCCGUCGUGAAGAGGGAAACAACCCAGACCGCCAGCUAAGGUCCCAAAGUCAUGGUUAAGUGGGAAACGAUGUGGGAAGGCCCAGACAGCCAGGAUGUUGGCUUAGAAGCAGCCAUCAUUUAAAGAAAGCGUAAUAGCUCACUGGUCGAGUCGGCCUGCGCGGAAGAUGUAACGGGGCUAAACCAUGCACCGAAGCUGCGGCAGCGAACGUAUCACUUAAAGCGAUUCAGCGGGUUACGAUUGACGGAGCGAAGCGACGUCAAAGCGUAUACAAAGUCGAGUCGGUUUAAGGAUACGUU